rnacentral:lncRNA from 10 species
UAAUUUAAAUAUGCAUUUGAAGUGCUCUUGAGCAGGCAUCAAUUUCAGACUAAUUUUGUAUUCAUUUUUUCAGGAUUAUUGACCUUGCCAAAAUUUAAAUAUGACAGGAAGAAAGUAUAUUAGUGAAAGCCAGGCAAGUAUACUUAAAGAAGAAAGAAAAGAAAGAUCAUCAGAGUUUCAUCAUGUCAAAACUACUUUUACACGGUGGAUCUUAAAAUAUCUAAUGAUGAAAAUUAUAAAAAUGCUUAAGAAACUUCUCAGUAAUCAAAAGUAAAAUUUGAUUAAGCUAAAGAAAAGACUAAAUAAUCUUUACAUCCACCCUAUAGAAAAUCAUAUUUCAAAUUAUGGUUCUAUGAACAGAUGAUGAAAUAUUAUUCUGGACAAAUUAAGAACAAAGUAUACAGGAUUUCAAAGAAAAAGAUCAUGUAGCUGGAAGUCUAAAGACAGCAUCUUAUUCCAGAACCAGGCCUAUGGAGAGACCCCAGGGAUCAAGGGAGUACUUAGGAGUCAGAAAGAGAAAAAUUUGAUGAUUCCUUGAUGUCAACAGCAACUACGAAAGUGGAAUAUAGGGAACUUGCUGCAGCCUACCAAGAAGUGCUGUGGAAAAAGAUUUGAAAUCAGUGACCAGAUAAUGUGAGUUUUCCCUUAUGGAACUGUUGAGGCUGACCACAUCAGGUCCUGCCAGAGACUAUAUAAUUUUUUCCACUUCUACAAAUUGUAUUGAAAAUUUCAAUGUGGUAAUUAUUAAUCUAAAUAAUAGUUCUUAUGAAAAGGCUAAAGCAAAUUAGAGCAUCAGAAAUCUGGAAGUUAAAUGAUCUUCUGAAAUUUGCAUGAUGAACUCACUGUUGUGGAAGAAUAAGUAAUAAAACAGCUCUACUCAUGCUGAUGAACAAGUGGGCAGGGGGAAUGGCGAGGGAUGCCAUCACUAAGGAAACCGUGAUCAUAGAGGAAUGGUGACAGCAAGAAAGCGAACACACAAGUUAAACUUUGGUUUAAUAAGUGCACUGUGUAAGCUGUCAGUGGAUCUACCAUUCUGGGGUCUGGAGGAUGGUGGCCCUCUUCUCACAGCUCCACCAGGUGGUGCCCCAGAAGGGACUCUGUGUGGAGGCUCUGACCCACGUUUCCCUUCUGCACUGCCUUAGCAGGGGUUCUCUACGAG